UCGAGAAUUUUUCACAAUGGGCGAAAGCCUGAUGGAGCGACGCCGCGUGGGGGAUGAAUGGCUUCGGCCCGUAAACGCCUGUCAUUCGCGAGUAAACGUUAUUAUUUAAAAGAUGAUAGCCUGAUAGUAGCGAAAGAGGAAGGGACGGCUAACUCUGUGCCAGCAGCCGCGGUAAUACAGAGGUCCCAAGCGUUGUUCGGAUUUACUGGGCGUAAAGGGUGCGUAGGUGGUGGGGUAAGUCGGAUGUGAAAUCUCCGAGCUCAACUCGGAAAGUGCAUUGGAAACUACCCUGCUCGAGGGUUGGAGGGGGGACUGGAAUACUUGGUGUAGCAGUGAAAUGCGUAGAUAUCAAGUGGAACACCAGUGGCGAAGGCGAGUCCCUGGACAACUCCUUACACUGAGGCAUGAAAGCUAGGGGAGCAAACAG
rnacentral:rRNA from 1 species